CGCCACAGCAGACAAUAAGACAUAACAUAUAUAUUUUUUUAAUAGCAGAAGUCAAACUGCACUGGAGCAGAAGCAAUGCUGCCUGUAUUGAAUAUGGACCAGAAUGAAUAAUGAUGCCUUCUUACAUUUCUACCAGAGUAGACUUUCUGUGUUCUGUGAUCCUGGCAAUAUUUGGCCUCCCCAACCCCUGGGCCAGAGAUGAAACUGCUACAUAUCAUGCCAUGCAUUAAAAAAGAAAUGCUUUGUACCUAGAUGAUGAUGCACUCUUUUGUGAUUUGUUCCAUUUUCCAUUUCCAAAUGCUCAGGUGUAACAGCUUCAUAGAGUCAGUUAGUGUAGUGGAUACGCUUGGAUCAAUGAGACCCAUAUUAGGGCUUUCCAUCCAGCCCUUGGCUCCCUAAUGUACCUCACAUAUUGUUGUAGGGAUGAAAUGCAGGCAGGGGGCGGGGCAACCCCCCAUGAAUUUUGUUGGAGGAAAGAUAGCCUACAAGUGUAUUAGAGUGGGUUGAUGAAAUUCAUUUCAGGGGACUGUAGCUAUUUUCAGGUGGGAAGUGUAGGAUAAAACUUGCUUUGAUGCAGUGGCAUCAAAUGAAUCAGGAUGAACGCUCAUUAAAUAGCUGACAUUGUCUAUUCUCCCUUCAAACAAAUCAGGAUGAAUGCUCAUUUAGCAGGUCAUCUGGAAAUGACCUUUGAAUUCCAUGACUGGGAUUCUCCUUCUCUCUCUCUCUCUCUUUAACUGAAAGUAGUGGUGUGAGAGAUCCAGAUUGGGAUUGUGACACAGGGGUUAGCCAUUUAAUUCUGCCGGCAAUCCCUCCCUACUUAACCCCCACCCCCUGGGCAGAAAAAAAAGCACUCCUGUUAGCAUCCUGGGUUGAAAUAUCAGCACAGAGUAAGAGUUGCACUUGGAAAAUUAGUGCCAGAGAAAAGGGCUGAAUCUAGUCACCCUGCAUAAUGAGCCUGAUCUGGGUCUAUCUCCCAUGGCUGGGGCAGUAUGCCAGCAUACAUCCAGUUCUUUCAUGCCAGUUUUGUGGGGAAAUCAUGGGGGAACAGAAGUAUGCAUGUGCGGAAAGGAUUGGGAGAAUCCCCAUUGUCCAAUGACCGUCAUUGCUGCGGCACACCAUGCCCGCUGGUGUGAAUGUAAUUUAGCAUGACAUGGUAGUACAUUGGUCGGAAAGCAACAGUUAACUAACACAACAGGUACUACAGUGUGAAAGGAACAUUAGGACAUGGGACAGAACUGCUAGCAUUAUAAUCAGGAAAACAAAUUCAGUAUUUCCCAUGUUUGAAUAUACCCCAUGCCAUUCCCCAACAUGUGUACACCUUAUAUCAUUACAGGCAAAGUCCAUUGUGGCAUCUAGGAAUGCAAGCUUUGAUUGUGUAAAUUCCAGACAAUUCUGUAAACAAGUAAACUACAAGUUACUUGGAAAGCUGUCUAUUUGCACCUGAGGUUUUGAGUUGCUGGGUGUCCCAUACUUUUUCUUCUAUUUUAAAGUAUCUAAUCUAGACAUCCAUUGGCUCUUGAGAAGCAAUAUUCAUUAUAAUUUGUCUCAUCAGGCUAGGUAAUUGCUUUCAACUAGGUAAUCGCUUUCAACUUCUGUCAGCACUCUUGCUCUUAACAAAACCCACAAGUAUCCUGCCUUCCCAAUCCUUCCUGCUAAACUAUUCACUGAUUUCAACAUGGCUUCUUUGAUGUGGCUCCUUUGUAUUUCAUCCUGAUACAGUUAACGUUCCGUAUAUAUAAUCCACGAUUUUCCUUUCUCGGUGAGGAAAAAUGGCACUCUGCCUUCUGUGCCUGUUAAGGGAGGUAUACAUUUUUAAUUCAGCACAUACUUAUCAACUGGCUGCCUCUAUCAACUGGGUGAGACUUCAGAAACAAAUUCAGAGCCUCUCUUCUUACUAUCAGAGUCCAAUUCAGCAAGACAUAUCCCCCAUUGUUGAGAAAAUUUCUGUAUUUAAAUAAUUUUUCACCAAAAGGUGAAAAGUUCUGAAUCCUCUGAAUCCCACAAGCAUAGGCAGUGGCCAAGGAAGACAGGAGUUGUAGUUCAGCAACAUCUAGAGGACCAAAGGUUCCUGAAACCUGGCCUAAAUGAACCUACCCAUGCAUCUCAGAAGCACCAGUGCAUCAGGAGCUGAUCUGCUUAUGAACCUGAUCUGAUGUGCAACAUGCAGAGAUGCAGUUAGGGUCUUCUCGGUGAUUGCACCCAAGCUGUAGAACUUUUUACGCUGGGAGGCCCAGUUGACUUUCUCCCUAACAGGCAGCAAGUUAAAACACGAAUGCGAGCAUUUUAUUAGUCAGGCUUUAUACUGUCUGUUGACACAUGACAACUGUUAUUUAGAGCACAUGCCACCAGCCAGGUCAUCCAUCAACAAGUAUCCCUAGGUCAUCCAUCAACAAGUUCUAAUUCCAUACCUGGCACUCCAUCCUUAGACAUGCUUUACAUGAAUUUGUGAUGGGGUUGUGGAAGGCAGGUGGUCUACUUUUGGCUCCAGGCUGCCAUUCUUUACUUUCAAUGAAUAUGUUUGGGUUUCCUCCAAAGUUAGUAAUACUCAAAGUAUAUCUAUUGAAGUUAAUGGCCACAACAAGCUAAGGACCAUUCAUUUAAAUGGGUCUACCUUGGACCUAACGGUCAGGGGUCCCUUUAUCUUUACCUUUACCUUUACCCCGCAUAAAAGUUAGUUGGGUACAGCUCUUUGACCUGGAGACCCGGAGCUGCCCUGUCAGGCAACCAUCCUAUGCACUGUUAUAUCUUCCUAAUCAUCAGAUCCUGAAGACAUUAUGUGGGAUUCUGGGACUUUCUCAACAAUGCCAUCAGCAGUGAAUAACCUUUUCUAAGGGGAAGCUGCAGUCAUGGUCCAUGUUCUUCAUCUGCAGUUAACAAGUUGAUUAACUUGAUUAACUGAAGCAAAUAAUUGUUUAGUGAGUCCUUAUUUAGCAUAGAUCCGCACUGUAAAAGGACCAACUACCUUUUCAAAAAUAAACAGCAUCUCAGUUUUUUCUGUGGUGUUUAGGUUGCCAAAAGCUGUUGUGUAUAACAUAGCCCCCUUUCUCUUUGACAUUGUCUGAUAAAUCACUGAUAAAUGGCACAUUAGAGAGCAUAAGAAACAUCUACAGAAUUGCCCAGCCAGUUCGAAACAGCCCCACUAGAAAGAGGAUUCCAAUGCAGACACCUCCUGAUAAUGACAUUUCCAUAGGUGCUUAAGUUCAAAUUAACUGUUCUAAAAACCCAAAUUAGAGUCAAAGAUGAUGCGAGCCAAUUUACUCAGCACAACAAUCAUGGGCAAUGAAAAGUGUUCUGCUAGAUUGCUGCUUAAAUCGUAUCACCGUGGCUGCCUCGGUGGGAGAGCAGUACAGAAUAAUAAUCGCUGCCGGCUAAAUGUAAUUUAAUUAUUAGGUUUUUGCAUUGGUUAGCUCUUGCAUUGUUUAAAAGGAGACUCCCCCCACCCCAUCUUCUACCAGGUGUGCAACGCAUGGCCACUGUUAGAAAUCUUUGAGAAACUGUGGCAGGAGGAAUAAUAAGUGGCAGAUCUAAUUGUAGCGCUUAAAUGAGAUGUGGGCUAAUAGUUGAACACUGAAGGUGGCCCAAGGAUGGUGGUUCUGUUUCCACCCGAAUGGAUGAUGUUGACAUUUUGUCCUUCUACUGUUAGCUCUUUGAGACAGACAACAGGACCCAAAGCCAAGCUGGUGUGCCAUUGCAGUUGGGCAUGUAUGCAAUAUAUUUCGUGCACAAAGUGUUACUCUAUCAUAGAUCUUUCGAUUUCUCAAAAACCUUAUGGGAGAGGACACUACAGUUCAUAUUUUUAGAGUGUGGAUCCAAACUCAUUGCUUCCCUAAACAACAUACAAUAUUGGGUGGGAUUUACAGUUGAAUACAAAUUCUCCUUCUGAUUUGCUGGUGGCAGAAUGAUUGUGGAGGUAUUGAUCUCACUUAUUCUUUUCCAGUCUAUAGAUGUACCCCACCCCCAAUUAAGUAAUAGUUUGGAAGCAGACCCUCUCAAAACAGAGUAAAUUCUCAUAUAAUUUCUCAGAAUACUUUUUUUCCUGAGAAAUUUCAGUCAGUUCUGGUUUCUCUGGUCUGCUCCAAGUGUACAUGUGUGUGAGAGAGGGAGAGAUGAUGAGGAAUGUUACACUUGCGUGUGUACACAUAGGAAAUGGUGGGCUAGAGGACUAUCAGUGCUAGCUGUCAACAGAGAAACAACAUGGAAGGGGGGGAAUAGGUCAGAGCGACUUGCCUGCUCUUUACACUGCCAUGGUUGAUUGGUUAUUCUCAUCACCCUUUGUUUAAAAUCAUUUUGGAAUUAAUUGGCGUUCAUUAGCAUGAGCCUUUGUAGCAGAGUUGCAGAAACAGUCAUUAAUGUAGCUAAUAAACAUAAAAAAGAAUGGGGAAAAUAUCCUAUUACCAGGUCCCUACAGGCUGUUAACUAACAUUUUGAAUACGAAUAUAUAAACAUAAAUUAAACAUUUUUAUGAAGUGCUAAGAGUGUGAGGAUUUAGCAAAGCAUCCUGCGGUAAAGUAAUACCUUGAAAUGCCUGAUAUAAUAUCUACACAGAUACACACACCCUGCAACAAGGGUUACUAGGCAAUGCCCAUUAAUAUGGUACUUCAGAUAAGAUACAUGGGUUUCUUCGGAAAUUUUGGAACACCAGUGUGGUCCAUCAUCCCAAACAAGGGAGAUGAGAAAGUGUAAGGAAUGAGAGCUAAUCACUGCCAGCAAUGAGUUGAUGACAAUGAUAGACUCAGCAUAGCAACAACUUAGUAUGCUUGCAAAACAACCCCAGUUGCUUAUUUAUUAUUAUUGAACUUUAGACUUUUAUUGAAUUUUCAACUAAAAAUGUCUCUGAAUGAGUUGCAGAAAAGAAUGUUGUAUUAAACCAUUACUUUUUAAUCAGUGCAAACCACGCAAUUAAAAAUCAAUAUUUUAAAAAAUCUAAAGCCGGUGCCCCUAGCUCCCGGGAUGUGAUGGACUCCAAGUAUUAUCAGCCCCAGCCAGUUUGAAAGCUUCCUGGGGCAUCCAUUUGGCCACUGUUCACCUAGUGGCUCAGUUGGUAGAGCAUGAGACUCUUAGUCUCAAGGUCAUGGGUUUGAGCCUUGGGCAAAAGAUGCCUGCCUUAAAGGGGGUUGGACUAGAUGACCCUUAUGGUCCUUUCUCUUUUGGCCUGAUCCAACAGGGAUCUCCUUAGGUGUGUAGCAAAUGGUCAGGGAUAAUGGAACUAGUAGUCUAGUAAACUCUGUGGAAAGAUACUGGUUAGAGAAGAUGGAGUUAAAGUGACGUUUAAAACAACAGAAUUAAGGGAUCACGCUGCCUCUUAUAUAUGCCUAUUUGAUUUCUUCAGUCUGUGGCACCUGCCACAUACAAGGAAUUGUUCCUGCAGUGCUAUAGCUGUCAACAGAAUUGUUCUUGCAGUGCUAUAGCACAUGGGCUUUGGAACUCUCUGCCUAUUGACAUUAGGCACUGACAUUGACAUUAGCCAGGCACCCUCACUAUAUUAUUUUAAAUACCUGCUGAAAACAUUUUUGUUUUAGGAAGUCUGUCCUUGACACAUGAUUUAAUUACUUACGUUUGUUUUAGUGAUUUUUUUCUUUGUUAUUAUGUAUAUUUGUUCAGUUGGUUUAUAGAUUUCGCCUAUGUUUUAGCUAUCAUUUUCUUCAUACACCAGUGACUUUUUGAACAAGCAGCUUAUAAGUUUUCAAAUAAAUAAUGCUAAAUAGUUUAAACCCACUUUGAGAUUAUCAUUAUGUUUUAAGAUGGCUGUGUGAAGGCUAAAUUACUCAUCUGGUGAGCUUGAACCUGUCUGUCAUGAUGAGCGACUCUGGUUCUUUCAUGUGUGUGCAGAUCAUCUGCAAAUAACGUCAAGCCUAUCAAAAUGUAUUAUGCAAAUUGACUUUGAUUCACUGGCCCUGCAACCCACUCAAGGCACAGUCCUCUCCCAGUGCUGCACUGGGCACGUUUCCCACAGUCCUCUGAAUGUUGGAAGAGCCAGGGCAGAUAAAAGAAGCACUUCUUCACCCAGUGCAGAGUUAAACUAUGGAACUCAUUCCCAUGGGAAGCAGGGAUGAUCACCAAUUUGGAUUAAAAGGAUUUGAAUUUUUUUUUUUUUUGGAGGACUAUGGCUAGUCCUGGGUGCCAGGAGUUGGGAGUCGCAAGUGGGCAGAGAGCUGUUGCACUCAUGUCUGACUUUCACUCUUCCCAUGGGCAUCUGGCUGGCCACUGUGCGAACAGAAUGCUGGACUAGAUGGGCCAUGGACCUGAUCUAGCAGGGCUUUUCUUAAGUUCUCUGGUUCAGAACUCCAAAACACAUAAAACUCAUGUGUGCAAACAGGAGGCCAGCUGUCCAAUCAUAUACAUGUCUUUCCCAGAAUAAAGUCACUUUGAUUUUAAAGAGCCUUACUCUCGGGAAAGUAGAUAUAGGAUUGCAACCUGAACUGAGGGUAAUAUUAAUAUUUUUCCCCACACCACAGGACUGCAGAUCUUGUUAGACUCCAAUUCCCAUCAGCCCCAGCCAGCAUGGCUAGUAAUCAGGGAUUAUGGGAGUUGAAUGUCAAUACAUAACAUAAUCUCUGUAC
rnacentral:lncRNA from 1 species